GUAGGAUUUUUUUCUCUGAUUCGAAUCCUUUCUCUUCAACAUCUGAAAUUCUCCUUUUCAGAUCUAGAAGCACCCUUGAUGAGGCCUCUAAAUAAUAAAACAUAGGGGUGUGGAACAGCCCUUGGGCGGCAAAGAAGGAGGACACAAGGGGCAGCAAGCAAAGGGUGCCUCCAUACUUACCUUAUCUGGGUGUGAUGGCUAAGAAAACCUUAGAAACCUUAGGGUUUGCUGCUGGUGGCAUGGAGACGACAGGGAGAGAGAG
rnacentral:lncRNA from 1 species